UUGCCUAGUAACGGCGAGUGAAGCGGCAACAGCUCAAAUUUGAAAUCUGGCCUCUUUGGGGUCCGAGUUGUAAUUUGCAGAGGGCGCUUUGGCGUUGGCAGCGGUCCAAGUUCCUUGGAACAGGACGUCACAGAGGGUGAGAAUCCCGUACGUGGUCGCUGGCCUUCGCCGUGUAAAGCCCCUUCGACGAGUCGAGUUGUUUGGGAAUGCAGCUCUAAAUGGGAGGUAAAUUUCUUCUAAAGCUAAAUACUGGCCAGAGACCGAUAGCGCACAAGUAGAGUGAUCGAAAGAUGAAAAGCACUUUGGAAAGAGAGUUAAAAAGCACGUGAAAUUGUUGAAAGGGAAGCGCUUGCAGCCAGACUUGCCUGUAGUUGCUCAUCCGGGUUUUUACCCGGUGCACUCUUCUAUAGGCAGGCCAGCAUCAGUUUGGGCGGUUGGAUAAAGGUCUCUGUCAUGUACCUCCUUUCGGGGAGAACUUAUAGGGGAGACGACAUGCAACCAGCCUGGACUGAGGUCCGCGCAUCUGCUAGGAUGCUGGCGUAAUGGCUGUAAGCGGCCCGUCUUGAAACACGGACCAAGGAGUCUAACAUCUAUGCGAGUGUUUGGGUGUCAAGCCCGAGCGCGUAAUGAAAGUGAACGGAGGUGGGAACCUUUCGGGGUGCACCAUCGACCGAUCCUGAUGUCUUCGGAUGGAUUUGAGUAAGAGCAUAGCUGUUGGGACCCGAAAGAUGGUGAACUAUGCUUGAAUAGGGUGAAGCCAGAGGAAACUCUGGUGGAGGCUCGCAGCGGUUCUGACGUGCAAAUCGAUCGUCAAAUUUGGGCAUAGGGGGCGAAAGACUAAUCGAACUAUCUAGUAGCUGGGUUCUGCGAG
rnacentral:rRNA from 1 species